GACGAACGCUGGCGGCGUGCUUAACACAUGCAAGUCGAGCGGUAAGGCCCUUUCGGGGUACGACGAGCGGCGAACGGGUGAGUAACACGUGGGUGACCUGCCCUCAGCUCUGGGAUAAGCCUGGGAAACCGGGUCUAAUACUGGAUAUGACUCCAUGACGCAUGUUGUGGGGUGGAAAGCCUUGUGCGGCUGAGGAUGGGCCCGCGGCCUAUCAGCUUGUUGGUGGGGUGAUGGCCUACCAAGGCGACGACGGGUAGCCGGCCUGAGAGGGCGACCGGCCACACUGGGACUGAGACACGGCCCAGACUCCUACGGGAGGCAGCAGUGGGGAAUCUUGCGCAAUGGGCGAAAGCCUGACGCAGCGACGCCGCGUGAGGGAUGACGGCCUGGUGUAACUAC
rnacentral:rRNA from 1 species